rnacentral:misc_RNA from 1 species
CCUAAGAGAUACGUGUUAUGUGCAGUGCUCACACAGAUUGUCCGAUGAAGAACGAGCAAAAGCGCGUCUGCGAAGCUGACUGAAGUCCCCUUCGUCUAGAGGCCUAGGACACCGCCCUUUCACGGCGGUAACAGGGGUUCGAAUCCCCUAGGGGACGCCAAUUGCGCGGUAUGAGUGAAAGGCGUACCACACUAUAGUCUGAUGCAAAUCAGAGAAUAGUUAAGAUAAUUUUAGCAAGUUAUUUUAACUAUUAUGCUCUUUAACAAUCUGGAACAAGCUGAAAAAUUGAAAACAAAUCAAUAUAUCACCGAGGUAUAUUGAUGAGUCUCUCAAAAUCUCAAACUUUGAAGUGUGAAACUCCAAGACAUUCGUCUUCGAGAGGAAACACCUUCGGGUUGUGA